rnacentral:lncRNA from 1 species
CUUUGAGAAGUUGGGAAGGAGAAGACGGGCUUGCUGGGAAAAGGUAGAUCUUCCGAGACUCGUAGCCCAGUUCUAUCAUCUUAUAUAGCUCAAUUUUUCACUUGUCUGCCUUCUUACUAAAUG